GGUUGUCAGACUCUGUGGUAAGAGUGCUUGCCUAGCAUGCAUGAAGCACUGGGUUCAAUUCCCAGCACCA
rnacentral:tRNA from 1 species